UACGUAGGGUGCGAGCGUUGUCCGGAAUUACUGGGCGUAAAGAGCUCGUAGGUGGUUUGUCGCGUUGUUCGUGAAAACCGGGGGCUUAACCCUCGGCGUGCGGGCGAUACGGGCAGACUUGAGUACUGCAGGGGAGACUGGAAUUCCUGGUGUAGCGGUGGAAUGCGCAGAUAUCAGGAGGAACACCAAUGGCGAAGGCAGAUCUCUGGGCCGUAACUGACGCUGAGGAGCGAAGGCAUGGGGAGCGAACAGG
rnacentral:rRNA from 1 species